rnacentral:lncRNA from 1 species
CUUACUACGGCUUAGGCUGUUUUCAAUUUUUUGUAGAAGGUAUGUGUCAAAUGUAAAUUAUUAAAUAUUACGUGUUCGUUUACUUUUAGAAAAUGAUUAACAAAAACGUUUAAUGUUAUAUGUUUAAGAAUAUACACUCUUAACUUUUUUUCUCCCUGAUUUUAAUCUCAAAACAAAAUCGGUUAUUAAUUUUCGUUUUUUUUUAUAUUUUCAUAUGUGGUAUUUAUAUAUUGCCUUCAUCACUCCAAGAUAUACUUAGCUUCAUAACAAUAAUACCAAUACGUUUCCAAAUAUAUAGUUGUAUCGUGUGUUUAAGCAGUCAUUUAUUUUAUAUGACAAUGUCUAUUUUUAAAUGAGAUUUGUGGUCACCUCUUCCGAUGUUGACUUCAUCGUUGACAAAAAUGGUAUUCUGAAUGUCAUCGAUUCUAUAUCAUAUUGAUAACAUUUAUAUGUGAGAUCUUUGGAAUCUUCUUCUAAACAGUACGUGUUUAGUGAAGUUAUUCUGGUAGAGUAAAAAUAUCUAAAUUUUCACCAACCGAUGUUUUGCAUAGUGUAAAAAAUACUAUUCCAUCUGAAUUAAAUUUAUUGAUUUAUCAAAGUGUUUCUAUGUACUAACAAGUACUUUAUUAGAUUUCAUUUGAAGAAAUUUUUUUUAACAUUGGUUUACCGUCAUUUUAGGCUAUUAACAUUACAUACAAACUGGAUAUCUUGUCAGAGCACCGAAUCAUGUAAAAGAUCGGUCAUAAGCGUUAUUGUUUUGUAAAUUGUUGAAUAACUAUAGUCAGUCCCUUCAACCUUGCUGGUAUCUCUUAUAUUAGCGUAUACUUCAUUUUAUUAACCUGAUGGUGGAUUUGAAGGAUGACUGUUUUGAAUAUGUUCUUAUUUAUAUAUUGUUUGAAUAGAUCGGAACGGUUGACCUUACGAGAAAUAGAAAACAACACCCCCUUUUAUUCAACAUUAUCUAAAAAGAUUUUGUUUUCAACAAACAUCCAAUGAGUGCAGCAGUGUUAAAAUGUUAAUUUUUAAAUCGAAAGUUUGUUCUAAUCAUUCCCGAAUUGAUUAAAUGAUUGAAAAACAAAAACAUAAAAAAAUAUAUAUAUCUAAAAAUAUAUAAUUUUUCUUUUCUUUUUGUUUUUCCUAACGUCCUGAUAUAAGAGAACUUUUCCCAAAUCGUCUUUUCUAUGAAACUCAGCACAAUAAACGAAACUGUGAAACAAUUGUGUAAAAAAUGCACGGGAUUAUUUUCUGCCAUAACAAAGCUAUAAAUAAGGUUAAGUGUCAGUCCCAAAUAACAGAGAUACAUUGUUUAGAAAUCAAUUGUAUUAUUCUAAUAGUAACUCAGUCGUAGAAGCUUUUGAUCAUGCAAUCGCCAUAUUGAAAUGUCAUUCAUUUGUGCAGUUUGAGUCAAUAUCUAUAGAACACAUAUUAGGUUUUAACUUAUCUCUAUGAAUGAGACAUUAAACUUGAUAUUCAUCCGAUCGACAUAUGCAUAUUUAAACCCAAUCGUCAACUCAUUGUAUAAUAUGAAUUAUGAUAUAAUAAAACUUACCAACCGUUAAUUUAUUCUUUAAAAGAUAAGUAACGAUUUACUUGCGAGACACAAAGAAAUAAAAUGAUUAAGUGACUCUUUACAAACACGAAGAAUGUAGUUUUUGUAUUUUUUUUCUGAUUUAGCAUGAAUGCAUAUUUGUGUUUAUAUUUUUUAACAAUCCAAACCUAAUGGAUGGAAUAUAACUGUGAAUUUUCCACGCAAUGUACAGGCAUUUUACAGAAAUCAUUCCAAUAAAACAUCGCUUACAAGGCGCGGUUUAUACCAAUGAGACAACCUCCAACGGAAACACUAUGUAUCCAAAACUCUACACAAAGUUUGUAUCUAUUUUGAUUGAUUAAAAAAUAAUUGAUUUUUACCUUGUUCUAUGCUUCCUUUUACAUAAGUAAGCUUUGUAUUUGUCUAAUUAUAAAAUGUUGUCAAAGAUGAAGUCUCCCCAUGAUGAUUUUACCUUGGUUUAAUUUUAUGGAGCUACGUAGCCAUCAAACAAUCUAAAUUGUAAUAAAAAGGCAUUCAUAAAUAACGUUUCUGAUUUUUGUAUUCUUAAAAUGUACUUUACAAUUGUUAUAAAAUGGUCUUAUCUAGCUUCUGGGAGCACGAAAUUAAAUUUGAAUCAAGGUAUCGAAUACGUUCUGUUCAGUUAAAGGACAUAGAUCAAAGUUGAAAAAUUGUAAAAGUGUUUCUUCCAAAAAGUCUUCUUUUCCAGUUAUUUAGUACAUGUUAUGGUUUAGACUUUGAACUUGUCUCCAACUACAUGUGCUGUUAAAGCUUUUGGGAGUAGCAACAAAAAUGCAAUCAGCUGAUUAUUGAUUAUUUCUGUCAUAAUCGUAAUGGGUGACGAGUCCCAGGUAAAAAUCAGGGUCUUCUCAUUAGGGAGAAAUACUGGGAAACUUAAUUAUAUAAAAAAAGAGGGACGAAGACAAACCUUCAAAUUGCUUUCGUAAAAAAUGAAUUUAAGCGCCAUUUUUUUUUUAUUUCAUUGCAAAAUGCAAAAUGUUGACCCCAGGCAGAAAGCCUGUUUUCCAUGUUAAAAGAAGCAUACAGCAUGGAAUGAUAUGAUUAUUUCAAUUGAAAUUGUUAAAUUGUGUGUUUUGAAUCGGGUCUAAAAUACACAUUUGAAAGGUAGUAACGUUUUAUGACAAUAAACCUUUUUAAAAUAAAAAAAAAAUUGACUUUGUGUAAUUUCCUAGGUAAUAUCACCAACACAAAUGUCCAUUUUUGUUUCCAGCAAUAUUUGAACAUAGUUGUGACGUCAAUAAAUAAUCAAAACAACAGACGUAUAACGCUGUUUUAUAAUCAUAACUCGAAAAACCAAUACGGGUCACAAACCAAAACCGAGGGAAACAUAUCGAGUUAAAAUGAAAAACAACAGAAAAAUUGAACUGCAACAAAAACAAACGCCAACAUUCAUAGCAACGCAUUUUAAUAACAACUGCUAUAUUCCUGUAUUGGUACAUCAAUCACAACAAUAAUGGCAAAGCGAAAAAAGAACCUCAUAUAAAUAGAAUGUUUAUUUACGUCUAACGUAAAUUACACUUUUUUCUUAAAGGAUGUUUGAUUUAUAAAAAAAAAGAUGAAAAUGUUCGAGGUAAGUGAUUGUGUAUUAAACUUAUAUUUUACUUUUUAAUGUUGUGUCGUCAUUCUCCUCUUAUAUUUAAUGCGUUUCCCCCAAUUUUGGUUGUGUGACCCGGAUCUGUUUUUUUUUUUUCCUAUCGAUUUAUGAGUUUUGAUUAUCGGUAUACUACUGAUGCCUUUAUUUAGUGUAAUUUUAUCCCGUGAAAAAGACAGUGAGAUUAGACAAUGAUGCAAUCAUAACAUUUUGUCUUUGAUAUGUGUUUUUUUAAAAGUUUUAAAUACUAGUAUACACACGUUGAUAAAUAUGUUGAGUAUUCCAUGUCUUAUAGAUAUAGGAAGAUGUGGUGUGAGUGUCAAUGAAACAACUCUCCAUCCAAAUAAAAAUUAAAAAAAAAAAAUAAAUCAUUAUAGGUCAAUGUACGGCCUUCAACACGGAGCCUUGGCUCACACCGAACAACAAGCUAUAAAGGGCCCCAAAAUUACCAGUGUAAAAACAUUCAAACAGGAAAACCAACGGUCUAAUCUAUAUAAAAAAAUAUGUAUGGAUUUGGGGAUAUGUAAAGAAAUCAAGUUGAUAAUAGUUUUAUUUUCACUAACUAAAGUACGAAUCUCUGCAAAUACAUUUCUUAUCAAAAUCGUUAUUCAUCAGACUAAUAGUGUGUUUGGCAGGUAAUAUGAACAAUGUCUUUGACAUAUAUUCUUUUUUUUUCAACAGUACCUCGAGGAAUAUGUAAUCCUCUGAUUUACAUUUUUUUUGUUUUAGUUAGAUAAUAAUUUAGUCGAAAAAGGCGUGUUUUAUACCAAUAUGAACGAUGAAUUUAUUAUAGAAAACAGGAGUAAACUUUGGUAUUUGUGUAAGAUGUGAGCUUCAUCUAAAAAAGACUCAUCAGUGACGCUCGAAUAAAAAAAAGUUUAAUAGGCCAUAAAAAUAAUACAACAUAUCGACAAUGUUUUUUUUAUUUCAUUUAAAAAUAGUAUUUGAGUUUAAUAUGAUUUUUUAAACAACCUUUUCAUAAAUCCGUUUCCCAAUUCUCUUUUUUUUUCUUUUUCAGAUAAUUAUAAAACAUUAUGGAUCUUGGUCAUGAUGGGUGACGUUAAAUUCCAUCAAUUAACAAACAGUCGUCUGGUGGGAGAACGACGUUAUGAAAUGAUAAACUGUAGCAAAAUACUUCCACGUUUCACAAGUGUCUUUUCACAUCAUCACAGACUUGCUUGGCUUGUAUCUGUUUAACACUUGAUAUGCUAAUAUUUUGCCCCUGCAAAUAACCAGUUUUAUCAUUUUGGACUUUCGAUGACCGGGUCUAUUAUUUUGGACUUGCAAUUACUGGAUUGAUCUGUUUGGGCAUGCGACAACUUGAAUUAUAAUUUUAAAUUCAUAACCGGAUUGAUCAUUUUGGACUUGCGAUAACCGGAUUGAUCGUUUUGGACUUGCGAUAACCUAAUUUAUUCAUUUGGACUUGCGUGCAUCAGAUUUAUCAUUUUGCACAUAUCUGGACUCUUCUUUAAAUAAUUGAAAACGAAAAAGGUUUAAAAGAUAAAAUGAUAUAUACAUAAAAAAAAUAAAAAUUAAAGC